UACGAAGGGGGCUAGCGUUGUUCGGAGUUACUGGGCGUAAAGGGCGCGUAGGCGGCUGUCCAAGUCGGGUGUGAAAGCCCAGGGCUCAACCCUGGAUGUGCACUCGAGACUGGCCGGCUAGAGGAUGGGAGAGGAUGGUGGAAUUCCCAGUGUAGAGGUGAAAUUCGUAGAUAUUGGGAAGAACACCGGUGGCGAAGGCGGCCAUCUGGACCAUUUCUGACGCUGAGGCGCGAAAGCGUGGGGAG
rnacentral:rRNA from 1 species